AAUCAACGCUGGCGGCGUGCCUAACACAUGCAAGUCGCACGAGAAAGAGGGGGCAACCCCUUGAGUAAAGUGGCGUACGGGUGAGUAACACGUGACUAACCUACCUCCGAAUGGGGAAUAACACCGGGAAACCGGUGCUAAUACCGCAUAACAUCUACGGAUCAAAGCAGCAAUGCGUUUGGAGAGGGGGUCGCGGCUGAUUAGCUAGUUGGUAAGGUAAUGGCUUACCGAGGCGACGAUCAGUAUCCUGCCUGAGAGGGCGCACGGACACACUGGAACUGAAACACGGUCCAGACUCCUACGGGAGGCAGCAGUGGGGAAUUUUGCGCAAUGGGGGAAACCCUGACGCAGCAACGCCGCGUGGAGGAUGAAGGUCUUUGGAUUGUAAACUCCUUUCGAUCGGGACGAUUAUGACGGUACCGGAAGAAGAAGUACCGGCUAACUCUGUGCCAGCAGCCGCCGUAAG
rnacentral:rRNA from 1 species